GGGGAAAACCCCAAGCCAGUAGCUGGUUUCAUUGCUGGUUUAACUGCGCCACCAGGAAGACGAAUGGGUCAUGCAGGUGCUAUUAUUGCUGGAGGUAAAGGUGGUGCCAAAGAGAAAAUCAAAGCCUUAGAAGAUGCUGGAGUUACUGUCACUAUGUCACCUGCACAAAUAGGAAAUACCAUACUUAAGGAAUUGGAAAAAGCCGGGAAAGUGUAGCACCUCAUUCUUCUGGUACCAUCAUUUUAUUUCCUGGAUUAACCUUAGAAAAAAUUCAGCUGUAAUAUAUGUCAAUCAUUAAGUUAUUGCAGUUGCAAGAAUUGUUUGCAAAAUUGUUUUUGCCCCCAUCGUCUGUCUUGUUAACUUGGCCAUGGCAAUGCAAUGCAAUGCAGUGCAUAGGUUGUUUAUUGAACUAUAUAUUCGUCAUGAAAUGACACUGAAUUUGUAUCUUCACUAAAACUACUGCAUGAUAUUAUUCAAUAUGACUUGCAUUGUAUUAUUUUACACUGAGUCUCAGGAAGAAAAGCAAGCUUUGUCAUUGCUAAUUUGUCCCUUCUCCCAGUUAUUUUACUUCUGAGUGGUUGUACCAAUAUUGUUUGCAGUAAAAUUAGUUGGAAUUGCAUGUAUAACAAAUAAGUUGAUAACUAAUGUACCAAUUAAAAAAACAUGUAAAUAUA